rnacentral:rRNA from 1 species
AACGAACGCUGGCGGCAGGCUUAACACAUGCAAGUCGAGCGCCCCGCAAGGGGAGCGGCAGACGGGUGAGUAACGCGUGGGAAUCUACCCAUCCCUACGGAAUAUCUCCGGGAAACUGGAAUUAAUACCGUAUACGCCCUACGGGGAAAGGUUUUUCGGGGAUGGGUGAGCCCGGGUUGGAUUAGCUAGUUUGUGGGGUAAAAGCCUACCAAGGCGACGAUCCAUAGCUGGUCUGAGAGGAUGAUCAGCCACAUUGGGACUUGGAAACGGCCCAAACUGCUACGGGAGGCAGCAGUGGGGAAUAUUGGACAAUGGGGGCAACCCUGAUCCAGCCAUGCCGCGUGAGUGAUGAAGGCCUUAGGGUUGUAAAGCUCUUUCACCGGGGAAGAUAAUGACGGUACCCGGAGAAGAAGCCCCGGCUAACUUCGUGCCAGCCGCCGCAGUAA